rfam:Mycobacterium rutilum strain DSM 45405 genome assembly, chromosome: I
UGAGUUGGCUGGGCGGCCGCGGGAUCCAGGUUCGCCUGGGUUUCGAGGAAAGUCCGGACUUCACAGAGCAGGGUGAUUGCUAACGGCAAUCCGAGGUGACUCGCGGGAAAGUGCCACAGAAAACAGACCGCCACCACGGAGUCUUCGGGCUCUGCGGUGGUAAGGGUGAAACGGUGCGGUAAGAGCGCACCAGCAUUCCGGGUGACCGGAGUGGCUAGGCAAACCCCACCCGAAGCAAGGCCAAGAAGGCCGCAACCUGGUUGCGGUCGCGCAGGCGCUCGAGGGCUGCUCGCCCGAGCCUGCGGGUAGGCCGCUCGAGGCACCCGGCGACGGUGUGUCCAGAUGGAUGGUCGCCGCUGCGUCGCCGUGGUCAACCACGGCGGUGCGGAACAGAAUCCGGCUUACAGGCCAACUCAUCCG